rnacentral:rRNA from 1 species
AUUGAACGCUGGCGGCAUGCCUUACACAUGCAAGUCGAACGGUAACAGGUCUUCGGAUGCUGACGAGCGGCGAACGGGUGAGUAAUACAUCGGAACGUGCCCGAGAGUGGGGGAUAACGAGGCGAAAGCUUUGCUAAUACCGCAUACGAUCUCAGGAUGAAAGCAGGGGACCGCAAGGCCUUGCGCUCACGGAGCGGCCGAUGGCAGAUUAGGUAGUUGGUGGGAUAAAAGCUUACCAAGCCGACGAUCUGUAGCUGGUCUGAGAGGACGACCAGCCACACUGGGACUGAGACACGGCCCAGACUCCUACGGGAGGCAGCAGUGGGUAAUUUUGGACAAUGGGCGCAAGCCUGAUCCAGCCAUGCCGCGUGCAGGAUGAAGGCCUUCGGGUCGUAAACUGCUUUUGUACGGAACGAAAAGACUCUGGUUAAUACCUGGGGUCCAUGACGGUACCGUAAGAAUAAGCACCGGCUAACUACGUGCCAGCCGCCGCGGUAACAC